rnacentral:lncRNA from 1 species
UUUUAGUAAUUUCAAUAAAGUCUUAACAACAAAAUAUAAACUCUAUGUAAAAAAAAAAAAAAUUGUUAAACGGAUGAAACGGAUGACCCGUUAGCUUAACGGGUAGAGUUCGGGUGACCUAUUAAUUUAACGGAUCGGGUUCAACCCGACCCAAACCCAAUAAACCGACCCGUUUACAGGUCUUCACUUCUAUAUACAAACGAGUAUAACUUCUUUGUAUAGAACUUCCGAGUUGUAAAACUACUAAAUCCUUGUUUUCAAGUCAGCUGAUUGUGGGACAUUCUGAUUAAGAUGAUUUAUUUUAUUAAUUUUCUUUCGGGGCAUAUAUUUCUGCGGUGAGAAGAUUGUCUCCUUCAGUCCCACAUGAACUUGAGGACUGGUUAAAACUAUGAUACAUGUUCACUAAUGAUUUAUUUCUAAAAAAGAAAGAAGUUAAAACAACGAUUGACACUAGUCAAGCAGUUAUGACACCUUCACUAAUUUGCCGUAACUAAAAUCAAAAUCAUGAGUUGGUUACGAAUUGUUUGUGUAAUCAAAGAACUAUGAAAAAUUUAACAAUGUUCUUCCCUUGAAAAAUAAUUGUUGCCGGUCCUUUGGUAAUUACACUGGAACGUACUAGCAGCUAGCCACCCUCCAUAUCCCAAUCCAUCACAACGUCACUUUUCACUACUAGUCAACUUUCCAAACGACCAACUCUAUAGAGUAGGAUUCUCUCAAUUCCUAAUUUCUCUCUCCUUCCAUUACCUCCUAUUUAAAUGGUUGCUAUUACGUCACAUCUACAUCUUGUUGAUUUUUUUAUAUAAAGCAUAAGACAAAAAGAAGAGUGUGAGAGGACGGGAUAGUAAUAGGAGGAGAGAGAAUCCUACUCCCAACUCUACGCAACAUUUUUGUACGAUUCAACGGUUAUCAAAUGCCAAAAGAAGAGAAAAAUUAAUAUCGCCUUUGCAUAACUUGAUGACAUAUAAAAAUAAUUAAAAUCUAGAUGCUGGAGAAACAAUAGCGAAUAUGAGCAAAACCAAAUUGAAAGAACCGUUCGAUAACUAUUUGAUUUUUAAUUUUUAAUUUUUAAUUUUUAAUUUUUUUUUUUUUUUGUGGCUUGAGAGAGAGGGGAAACGCAUAAAAGUUUCCUUUGUUUUAUAUUUAUUGAAGCCAACCAGUAACCAUUGCUCCUCUACCAAAACUCAACAAGGUCAAAAAGUUACAACCUAUCUCAACCAGUGGAUAUUAUAAGAGGUUUGCUAUUCACACCUUCCUUUUUAUUUUUCACUCAUUUAUGUAAUUUUUGUCUAUUAAUCUUCUUCAAUUAUGAGAGGAAAAUUGUGAAAUCCCAUCCCCAAGUUUCAUUAUUUAAUUACGUACUUUGUAUUUACACGAUUUUUAUUUUAUCUUAAUUUGCUGAUUAUUGAUUACAGUUUAGUAUAUAUAACAUGAUUUUGGACACGUCUUGUCCAACAUGUAUAGUUUUAUGUGUUUGUACUGUUAAAUUAAGAUGCAGGAUACCAGAUACGUGUCUACAAUCCUACGUAUCAGAUGUGAAGAUGUUUUUCUCAUUGUGGGUGAACUAGAGGUAAGGCGAACAACGCAUACGGCUCUUAGAUCUCACUUAAAUUAGACCUCAUACCUUCCAUCAUUUAUCGUAUUGUUGAUAAAAAAGAUGAGGAAACAAAAAUAUCUCAUACUCAUAAAUUCAGUGUGACAUACCUUAAACUCAUAUUGUUGUGGGAAAAAAAAAAAUUCACAUUAAGGUACUAAAGUAUAUGCAGGCCUCAUUUUAUUUCCGCGUUAGGCCUCCGUUUGCAUUGGAAUGACUUUGGCGUGGAGAAAUAAUUCAGCCUCGGUAAAAGAUCUUUAUGUAUUCACUUUUGAUUAUCUUAUGCAUCACCAUCACCAUCACCACCACCACAUCUAUUAUACUCGUAACGUGCCCGACCAAGCUCGGUUUCGAAACACUAAUAGACUAGACAUUGUAAUGUUUAGAGUUUCUCAAGAAACAUGCAUGUUUAGUAAUCCACGGAAAUCAUAAUAAAAAUAAGGAAUUGGUUUUUUGUAUGGGUAAUGAUAAGGACCAAAUUUUUUAAACUAAAUGAUGUAGUUGUAAAUAAUUGGAUUAUUAAUUGAGUGUCAAUUAACGUGUUUGUUUUUUAUUGAUGACAUAUAAUUUGGAUUUGGAUCCUUGCCGGAUCCCUUCCCUGAAGAUCAAUUAACACAGACCGUUGAUAAAAAAUUAUGAGGGCACAAUUUUUUCCCUUUUUAUAUUUUUCACGCAAAACGAUGCUGCUUUACUUUUAAAAAUAUAAAAAGCAUGUAAUUGGGACCGCACGAUUUUUUAUCAACGGGCUGUGUUCGUUGAUCCCUAGGGAGAGGAUCCGAAGAGGAUCCAAAUCCAUAUAAUUUAGUUUGCAAAUUUGAUAUCCCUAACACUAUUCAUUUUUAACACAUACUAUAAUUAUAACUAUUCAUAUAUGAAUAAGGCACACUAACUACGAAGAAGUUGAAAGGCCCACACAAAAAAAGAAAUUGAUCUGCUGAUAAGGGGUUUGAAGGAGCUAGCAGGUAUUUUCUAUGGUUGUAGGAUCUCAAAUAACAACUAAUAUGUCUGUUAUGCUCUAAAGUGGUGUGCUAUCCACACCUCCUCAAUUUCAACAAUCGGAAAUUAACAAUGAGUAUGGAUAGCAUUAUCCUACUCUAAAAUAUCUUUUUUCGUUUUCACACACCUCAAUUUUAGCCGUCAUAUCAAAUGACUUGAAGAAAAUUAACAAUGUGUGGAUAGCAUUACCUUCAAAUAUCUUUUUCAGUCCAUUCCAAACAUCACAUCACUCCCUCAUCUCUUUCAGCUACCAUACACAGAAAUACAAAAUGAGGGAGUAGGAUUCUCUCCCCUCUCUUCCUAUUUGAACAGUUACGUCAAUAUCUUAUAUUAAUUUUUUUAAUAAAAAUAGAAAGACAAAAUAGAGAAUGUGAGAUGAAAGGAGAGAAUCUUAAUCCGAAAAUGAGAGCACUCCGGUCCAUGGGCAACAUCAAACAGCUCUUCAAGAGGUUGACUGGAGCCAGAGCAUGUGAUGCCUCAGCUGCUGCUGUAGAACCAAAUGUCAAGGUGGAGUACAACAUUUCCCCGUCCCACCCCAGACACGUCAUCCGAUUUUCCUUCCACCCAGAUGACGAACAAAUUGCCAAGAAAAUGAUGACUGCUAACCCCACCGGGAUUAUGGAUUAGCUUUCCCAUGUCAACAUCAUCACCACCAAUGCAUAUCUCAUCUGGAAAUCUGGUCGAGCACUAUUCAAGGCUAAGGAAAGUAGUCUGAAGGAAGUGUUAAAGGGUGAAAUUUGUUGCUUCAGCACGCAGACUCAGAAACACCUUGCUUCCCUGGUUCAUCAGUCCAGUAAAAACAUAGCUCAUAUUAAGUACCUGGAACUAGUCACAAACCAUUGAUUCCCAAAGGGCAACAACAACGACAAUUCACAUUUGAGUGGAGGAAGAUGAGACCCCUUUGGGAGUCCAUGUUUCGCAAAACGGUUUGCGAAAAUCCAGGUACUUAAUACAAGCUGUGUUUUCACCGAACUGAUGAACCAGGUAAGCAAGAUGCUUCCGAGCCUGCAGCAACAAGUUUCACCCUUCAAAACUUCUUUCAGACCACUUUCCUUAGCCUUAAAUAUUGCUCGGCUGGAUUUCCAGACGAGAUCUGCAUUGUCGGCAAUAAUGUUGACAUGGGAAAAACAAUCCAUAAUCUCGAGGGAUAGCAGCCAUCUUUUUCCUGGCUCUCUAUUCAUCAUCUAGGUGGACGCAAAAUCGAAUAACGUGUUUAGGGUGGGACAGGGAAAUGUUGUACUCCAAAUUGACAUUUGGUUCUUCAGCAGCAGCUGAGGCACCGCCUACUCUGGCUCCAGUCAACCUCUUUAAGAGUUGUCUAAUGCUGCCCGCGGACUGAAAUGCCCUUAUUUUUUUACUAAGAUUCUCUUCCCUCCUCUUUCAAUUCCCUCAUCUCACAUUCUCUAUUUUGUCUCUUUCUAUAAAGUUAAUAUAAGAUGUUAACGUAACCGUUCAAAUAUGAAGGGAGAGGGUGGGAAAAAAAAGAGAAGAGAGAAUCCUACUCUUUUUUUUUUCCUGCUAGGGUAGCCGGGAGUUAUGUGACGUUUGGAAUAGUCUGAAAAAGAUAUUUUAGAGUAGGGUGGUGCUAUCCACACUCAUUGUUAAUUUAUAUCCUUAUAUUUUCUUCAAGUCAUUUGAUCCGACGGCUGAAAUUGAGGUGUGUGAAAACUAAGAAAGACAUUUUAGAGUAGGGUGAUGCUAUCCAAAUACUCAUCGUUAACAUCAGUGGAGAGAAUCUUAGUCCGAAUAUGAGAGCACUCCGGUCCAUGGGCAACAUUAGACAGCUCUUCAAGAGGUUGACUGAAGCCAGAGCAUGUGAUGCCUCAACUGCUGCUGUAGAACCAAAUGUCAAGGUGGAGUACAACAUUUCCCCGUCCCACCCCAAACACGUCAUCGGAUUUUCCUUCCACCUAGAUGAAGAACAAAUUGCCAAGAAAAUGAUGACUGCUAACCCCACCGGGAUUAUGGAUUAGCUUUCCCAUGUCAACAUCAUCACCACCAGUGCAUAUCUCAUCUGGAAAUCUGGUCGAGCACUAUUCAAGGCUAAGGAAAGUGAUCUGAAGGAAGUGUUGAAGGGUGAAAUUUGUUGCUUCAGCACGCAGACUCAGAAACACCUUGCUUCCCUGGUUUAUCAGUCCAGUAAAAACAUAGCUCAUAUUAAGUACCUGGAACUAGUCACAAAUCAUUUCGCAAACCAUGGACUCCCAAAGGGCAACAACAACGACAAUUCACAUUUGAGUGGAGGAAGAUGAGACCCCUUUGGGAGUCCAUGUUUCGCAAAACGGUUUGCGAAAAUCCAGGUACUUAAUACAAGCUAUGUUCUCACCGAACUGAUGAACCAGGUAAGCAAGAUGCUUCCGAGCCUGCAGCUUGAAGCAACAAGUUUCACCAUUCAAAACUUCUUUCAGACCACUUUCCUUAGCCUUAAAUAUUGUUCGGCUGGAUUUCCAGACGAGAUCUACAUUGUCGACAAUGAUGUUGACAUGGGAAAGACAAUCCAUAAUCUUAAGGGAUAGCAGCCAUCAUUUUCCUGGCUCUCUAUUCAUCAUCUAAGUGGACGCAAAAUCGGAUGACGUCUUUGGGGUGGGACAGGGAAAUGUUGUACUCCACAUUAACAUUUGGUUAUUCAGCAGCAGCUGAGGCACCGCCUACUCUGGCUCCCCUUGUCAACCUCUUUAAGAGCUGUCUAAUGCUGCCCGCAAACUAGAAUGCCCUUAUUUUUGGACUAAGAUUUUCUUCCCUCCUCUUUCCAUCCCCUCAUCUCACAUUCUUUAUUUUGUCUUUCUAUUUCUAUAAAGUUAAUAUAAGAUGUUAACGUGACUUAACCGUAACCGUUCAAAUAUAAAGGGAGAUGAGGGAAAGGGAGGGAAAAAAAAGAGAAGAAAGAAUCCUACUCUUUUUUUUUUGCGUAAGGUAGCCGGGAGAAAGGAGGGAGUUAUGUGAUGUUUGGAAUAGUCUGAAAAAGAUAUUUUAGAGUAGGGUGGUGCUAUCCACACUCAUUGUUAAUUUAUGUCCUUAUAUUUUCUUAAAGUCAUUUGAUACGACGGCUGAAAUUAAUUUAUGUCCUUAUAUUCUCUUCCCUCCUCUUUCCAUCCCUUCUUCUCACAUUCUCUGUUUUGUCUUUCUAUUUCUAUAAAGUUAAUAUAAGAUGUUAACGUGACUUAACCGUAACCGUUCAAAUAUUAAGGGAGAGGAGGGAAAGGGAGAGAAAAAAAAGAGAAGAAAGAAUCCUACUCUCUUUUUUUCUGCGUAAGGUAGCCGGGAGAAAGGAGGGAGUUAUGUGACGUUUGGAAUAAACUAAAAAAGAUAUUUUAGAGUAAGGUGGUGCUAUCCACACAUUGUUAAUUUAUGUCCUUAGAUUUUCUUCAACCCAUUUGAUCUGAUGGUUGAAAUUGAGGAGGUGUGGGAAAGCUAAAAAAGAUAUUUUAGAGUAGGGUGAUGUUAUUCACACACUAAUUGUUAAUUUCUAUCCUUAGACCUUCUUCAAAUCAUUUGAUUCGACGGCUGAAAUUGAAGAGGUGUGAAAACUAAAAAUGGGUGUGAAUAGCACACUCGUUUAGAGCAUAACAAACAUAUUAGUUGUUACUAGCAACGAAGCCCGCGUGAUGCUGUGGGUUUUUAAACAACAUAAAACAUGUAGAAAAUUAUAUUUACAACUCGACUUAACUCAAUCUAUUUACAAUUCUGCCUAACUCAAGGAAUAGAUAAAAGUUUGUUUCUUAUCGAAAUAUACGAAUUUGAAUGAAAUAUAUCAAAGAAGUAUAGAGUGGAGCAAACCUUGUAAUUUCUGUAAGAUGGGCAGCUGGAACACCAAUAGUGAUAUAGUUUGAAGGAAUCUGGCUGUAAUCCACUUUGGUUGUUCUUUGUAAAUUUGUUGGAAAAUGUAGUAGUUAGCCUGAAAAUAACAAUCAAGAGCGUUGAACGAAUCAAACCUGAAUGAUAUCACUAACUAAUACUAACUAAUCAAACCUGAAAAAUGAGCCAAACUGCGAUUGACUACUAACUAAUACUAUAACACUCUUUUAUGCCAGUAAUCUAAGAGAGAUUUUAAUAAAAAGGGCACAGGCAGCGGGGAAUUAGCAAAAUGGUGAAGAUGAAGGUUAUUAGGCAGCCAAUCCCCUUCUCUCCUCUCUUCUCCUUUACCUCUCUCUCCACCACCCUCCUUUCUCUCUCUCUUUCUUUCUUCCCUUUCUCUCCGCCGGUUUCUCUACCCGAAUGAGACACCCACCGCAUUCUUUUUUUUUUUACUCUCCCCACCCCAAUUCCCAAUUCGCCAUUCUGUCUCUGCGUCUCUCUCUAUUUCUCUAUUAUCUCUGCUCUAUACUUGGUUUGUUAUUCUCUCGGGAGGUUUUCGAUUGCUUUUGCUGCUGCAGCAGCUUCGGGUGGUGCACCAAUUAGGUUCGAUCCGCCAAGGUAUUGGAUCGGUCUAUUGGUUGUGUUUUUGCUAUAUGUUUAAUCCUUCAAUUAAACACAGUUAAUUUUCAUCAAAAUUAGCAUGAAUACAAUAGUGCUUCCAACAGAAAAUAAAAGGAAAAAUGACAACCCAAAAAAGUUGACAACCCAAGACAAAUAAGUUUAGAACAGGGCAAACAAUGGCAAUCCAACAAAACCAAAGUUGUGAUUAAAUGAAGCAUAAUUUAAUUAAACAAACCAUCAGCGGAGAAAGAUCCAAUAGCUAAAAAAAAAAAAAAAGUUCUAAACCUUGAGCGUAAACAGCUUGCAAGGUUGCAGACAGAAUGGCCAAAAUUCGAACAACUUUUGCUGAAACCAAAUAUGAAAGCAGAUUAGAAGGGGAAACCCAAAGCACGAAAUAAAAUUUGAUAUACGGGAAAGCAACAUACAGGAAAAUAACCAAAAAUACCAACGAAAAAAAGGGAAAAUAAUAUACAGGAAAAUACAUUAUCUUCAUAAGUAAGAAGCAGAUUGGAACAAUGGAUUUAGCAAAAAGCAAAAAAGCCCCAGCUCAAAACCCAAUUUUUUUCUAAAUCUCAACCUAGAUAUGAACAUUUCAGCGAAACCUAAACCCUAGACAGGCACAAAUAUUUAACUCUUCAUAGAAAAUUUACAAAAAUUUAAAGAAUGACAACCCCAGCAAAAAAAAACAAAAAUUUAAAGAAUGACAACCCCAGCAAAAAAAACAAAACAAAAAAUCCAAACAUAUCCAAAAUUAGCAAGAGAAACACAAACCCAAAAGCAAAUCAGCCUCUCACACUAAGCAAACACGGUAGCAGCCAUGCACGCCCAUGGCUUUUUCAUCUCAGGAGGCCAUGACUGACGACGGAAUAACCAAAAUACCAAAGAAAGAUCAGAUUCCAAAAAAAACCCAAAUUGAAAUGAACCCUAGAAAUUGAAAUUCAGAAUUGAAAAUUCAAAUUGGGGGAGCUCUGAUAUUUUACCUAAAUAGCAACUUAGGAGUUGCCGCUGCACCACUAAUUCACAACUAAGUCGUAGCCAUAUCCAUUCCUCAACAAUCUUUGAAUUUUAAUUAAAACAGAAAAAAUAUUAGAAAAUGGUUAAAGAUAAGUUAUAUAACCGCAGGCAAAUCCAUUCCUCAACAAUCUUUCAAUUUUAAUUAAAAAAAAAAAAUUGUUAAUGAUAGGUUACACACCUGACCCAGAAAGUGUUUGCAAACUCCCAAAACAAAACCCUAAAAUUAGAAGAUAAACGUUUCCUGCAACCAAAAAUGAAAUCAAACAAAAGAUCCACACACAAAUCAGCAAAAAAUAAAGAAAGCAUUUAGAAAGAAUCGAAUUUUACAACAAUCAAUUAAAAAAAUCUCUCCAGAUGAAAUGUUCCAGUUGUCCUAAUAAUAUUAGGGCCCGUUUGUUUGACCUUCUUAAGUUUCACUGGACUAGACUCACUUACUAGUCCAGUGUUUGGUGAAAGCGGGACAACGUUUAAUGGUACUAAGUCGGACUCGUGCCGACUAAGUCCUUCACUGCGUGGUCUUAGCGAGGCCCCUCAAAACGUUUGGGAUUGCUAAUCCCGUCUCCGAACUUGCGUUGUGUGCAACAGUGUUGUCUACAAGCAUGCCUCUCUGCAACUCCAUUUGCCUCCAUGCCCAGAUCUUAAACCCAGAUUUGAAACCCAGCCCACCCAUGCCCAUAUCCGAAACAAAAAAGCAAAACGAAAACAACAAUCUCAGUAAAAAUUCUUCCCUCUUCCCAGAAAAAUUCGAAGGAGUGAGAAACAGAGGCAGCAAAGUCCAUGGCGAUGGGUACCGAGAGGACGAAGCCUCUGCAUAAUUUCCGCUUUCCGUGGGAUGUGAAGUGGGGUGAUGUUGCUUGCCAAGGAGAGAUGAAGUGCAGAGGCAAGAGGCAAAGAAGAUGAAGUGAAGAGGUAGAUGAUUUGCAAUAAAAAACGAAGUGACAAAAUGGGAGAAAAGGGGAAUGGGGAGGGAGAGGCGGAGAAAACAAUGAAUGAAGACAUAGGGGAGGAUUCUAGAAAAACAGGGAAAAAGAAAGUAAUAAUAAAAUAUUAAUUGAUAUAUUAAAUUAAAAAUAAAAUAUUAAUAAAUAUAGAUUAAAUAAUAUAAUAUUAUAGUCCUGCUUCUUAGUCUGACACUGCACCAAACGCUUCACUAAGUCAGUCCAGCUUAGUCUAGUCUAAGCCAAUCCAGCUUAGUCCCUGAAGCUAGUCCAGUCCGAGACAGUCCGGUGCAACAAACGCACCCUUAGGUUAUAUAUAUGUAGCUAUAAGAUUACGCAAUACAGCAGUUUUGUGUACAUCCAAAUACAUGUAGGUGUUUCUUUCAUUCAUCUUUUCAGACUUUUCGUUAAUGGCAAUUUUCAUUAAUUGUUUGAGCUCUACUGUACCGUUCUGUGAUCGUUAUCGUUAUAUCAAUUGCUUUCUGGUGUUCAUGUAAGUAAACUCCUAUGAUAUCCGAUGCCAAAAAUCGAAAUUGUAAUGUUAUUGCUCCGGAAGGAUGAAAAGCAAACAAAUCACCAGGAUAUCAUAUAAAUUACAAAUCUAGAAUACAAACUAUAGAAACAAAGCAGAAAUGUUCAGUAUCUCCACCAAAAAUUGAUAGACUAUACAUAAAUUACACCAAGACACACACAGAGAUGCAUAGAAUUCUAAAAUUUUGCCCCAAAUUAGAGCAAAAGGAAGAGAAACAGGGGAAAACCCACAUACCUCCCACUACGAAUAAGUUAACCGUAUGAUUCCAGAACGAAAUCCUGAUCUCAUCAGGGUUCAAAAUCCGAAACUUUGGGCAACUGCCGAGAGCAACCGCGUGGUGAUGGAGAACCGAAGGAACUUUUGGGGAAAUGGAAAGUGAGGUCUUGAGGAAGAGGGAAUCGGGAGUGAGAGAGAAGAAGUAGGAGAGGAAGAGGAGGAGGGAGAAGAGGAGGGUCAGGUAGAGCAGAGGGGAGACGGAAUCGAAGAUCAGUAAAUCCAAAACCAGCAUUCUCAUCAGGAAAAAAAAUCACUAAAAAGAAAAAGGCAGAAAAAUGCAGGGCAUUCUUCCCGAAGGCAACAGAUCUAACAUUCUUGGAAAGAAAAUUCGAUCACGAAUUGAAAAAAAAAAGUGAGAGAGAGAGACGAACCUUCAUACGGAGGCUAGUGAUCCGGAGCUCGAGAAAUCUGUGGAAGCAAAUGGAAGAGCCCUGAUUUUCCAUAUUUCUUCCGUUCUAGGAUGAGAGAAACGGAAGAGAUGGAGUUGUGGCUGCUAGGGUUUGAGGAGGACAGAAACAGGAAGAGUGAGAAAUGAGAGAGGGCUCACGUAGGAGAGUGGAAGAGUGAGAUUAUAACCCAGCAAUCCGUGUUAAACCAAACGGACAGAAUUACCCUCUGAACUUUUGAGAAUUACACUCCCA